CAGGGGAUUGCCCCAGUAACGGCGAGUGAAGCGGCAAAAGCUCAAAUUUGAAAUCCUGCGGGAAUUGUAAUUUGAAGGUUUCGUGGUCUGAGUCGGCCGCGCCCAAGUCCAUUGGAACAUGGCGCCUGGGAGGGUGAGAGCCCCGUAUGGCGCACGCCGACUCUUUGCACCGCGGCUCCGACGAGUCGAGUUGUUUGGGAAUGCAGCUCUAAGUGGGUGGUAAAUUCCAUCUAAAGCUAAAUAUUGGCGAGAGACCGAUAGCGAACAAGUACAGUGAUGGAAAGAUGAAAAGCACUUUGAAAAGAGAGUGAAACAGCACGUGAAAUUGUUGAAAGGGAAGGGCUUGCAAGCAGACACGGUUUUACCGGGCCAGCGUCGAAAAGGGGGGAGGAACAAGAACUCGAGAAUGUGGCGCGCACCUUCGGGCGCGCGUGUUAUAGCUCGUGUUGACGCCUCCAUCCCUUUUCGAGGCCUGCGAUUCUAGGACGCUGGCGUAAUGGUUGCAAGCCGC
rnacentral:rRNA from 1 species